GAAACAACAAACAUCCUUUUGCUCCUGAAACUGGCUCAGACAGAACAGAAUGAACAAAGAACAAUGUCAGCUGGAUGAAGCAUUGGAGAAUACAAAGAAAAAAACCCACAAUACCAGAUUUGGGAUACUUUCCUAUGCUUUGUUGGUCAGAGAGGUCUCAGAAGCAUCCAAAGCAAUAUGGAUUAUCAUCACUGCUUUUGAUUGGUUGCCCACAAGAACAUGAAGGUUUUCAGUUUCAGGAGGUCCUCCAGAGAUCUACAAGGAUGACACCAACUAACCAUCUAAGCAACAGUGGAGAGGCUACCUUAGAUGCCAUCCCCUGAUGAUGAGAUUGAUGACUGACUUGUAUGCCAUCCUAGAGCCUUCAUCUAGCAGUUGAUGGAAGUAAAAACUGAUACCCACAGCCAAACACUGAACUGAACUGGAAUCCAGUUGCAGAAGGAGGAGUGAUGAACAAAGGGGUCAGACCAACCUGGUGCAACCCACAGAAACAUCUGACCUGAACAAGGGGGAGCUCUUGGCCUCCAGACUUAUCAC
rnacentral:lncRNA from 1 species